CGAACCACCCGACAACACGAACACCUAAUUAUUAUCUACAAUCGUGCCGAUGAAUUCUCACUUGCUCCGUUUCUUACUUAAAUUCGCUGUUAACAUUGCGAACACCGAUAAGCCCAUCACUUUGUAAUAAAAGAUGGCAGAAGGCUCGACUACAACACAAUGGCUUAGCGUAUUGCGUGUCGAAUAUUCAUAAAGAGACGGUGUCACGAGAUACGACCACGGGGUAAAAUAAUAGAGUAAGUUAGCACGAUUCGACCAGGAGAGGUCACUCCUUCAUCACGGUCUUGCAAAUAUAAUUGCGCUGACAAAAGUCACACGCAGUUUUAAGGUAAUGAGAGCUUUUUUUCCGAGAAAAUAUAAAACACAAUACAGACCUAAUCUGAUGAAGAUCAUGACAAUUCGUGAUACGAACGUUUAUGGAUAAGAAUGUUUCUUAAGCAUAUAGUGCAUUAUUUUUAACAAUUUUUUUGGCCCUGCGCCAUCUGGUACUG